rnacentral:rRNA from 1 species
ACUCCUACGGGAGGCAGCAGUGAGGAAUAUUGGACAAUGGGUUAGCGCCUGAUCCAGCCAUCCCGCGUGAAGGACGACGGCCCUAUGGGUUGUAAACUUCUUUUGUACAGGGAUAAACCUACUCUCGUGAGAGUAGCUGAAGGUACUGUACGAAUAAGCACCGGCUAACUCCGUGCCAGCAGCCGCGGUAAU